rnacentral:tRNA from 1 species
GGGGAUGUAGCUCAGAGAUGGAGCACUUGUCUAGCAAGCAUGAUGCUCUGGGUUCAAUCCCCAGCACUGCAA